rnacentral:rRNA from 1 species
UACAGAGGGUGCGAGCGUUAAUCGGAAUUACUGGGCGUAAAGCGUGCGUAGACGGUCAAGUAAGUCGGGUGUGAAAGCCCCGGGCUCAACCUGGGAAUUGCAUUCGAGACUGCGUGGCUAGGGUGCGGAAGAGGGAAGCGGAAUUUCCGGUGUAGCGGUGAAAUGCGUAGAUAUCGGGAGGAACACCAGAGGCGAAGGCGGGUUACUGGGCUGAUACUGACGCUGAUGCGCGAAAGCCAGGGGAGCAAACGGG